GGUUAGCUGGGGUCUUGGUCUGUGUAAAAUCAUCCCCAGUGAGCAUGCAUGGCCUGGAAGCGCUUGGCCUGGGGUCCAUGUCAGAAAGCUGUAAGCUCGCAGUGACUCACACCGGGGGACCCCCAGGCCAUCUGCAGGAUCCUCAGAAAGCCUCACUGCAGACCUCCAAGUUGUGAGGCUUUACCCAAGACACCAAUCUGUGACACCCUUCAAAGGCAUUGCUGAUGGCUUGGCCAAUUCUGAAUAUCGGUAGCAGUGGAGAUUUCUAACACUUCACAGGACCAUCAAGGGCAUUAAAUAACACAGUACCUUUGCAUAGUCA